GUGAAUGGGAGGCAGGCUGUGUUUAUUUUCUUGUAAAACUACAUAAACUCGUUUAAUAAAGCGUUCAGAUCGAGGGACAGACCAAAGUGUAUUUACAAUAAGAAAAAUCACGUGUGAUUCACAGCCUUUGCCAAGAUACUCAAAAUUGUGCUCAGGUGUAUCCUGUCUCCUCUGAUCAUCCUUCAGAUGUGUCUACAUCUCAACUGGAGCCCAUCUGUUAUACAUUCAUUUGACAUAGCAGAAACCAAGCAACGAGGUCAAAGGAAUAUUUAGAAAAGGAAGAAGUUUGAGACCACCUGAAUCCUCCCUGUAUCUGCCUGACCUUGGUCACUUAGGCAAGGCUCCAGUGGUCGCUUGUGGAGAUACAACCAUCCAGAAGAGUGAACACCCGGUUUCCAUUACGUCGGGCCGGCCGGGUUCCAUCAGCUACACCACAAACCUCCUGUCUCCACUCAGGCUCCACCCAGCGUCGCCACAGGCUUCCCAGAAAAGAAAAGCAUCUAAUUAAAAAGAAAAAACUUUAAUUAUGUUCAUCUCAUCUCUGUCUCUCAAUGAGAGAAUUAAACGACUGUAUACAAACACGUUCAUUUGGUGGACGAGAGUGAAAGAGAGGGAAGAUGUUUUUCUUAUAUAUAUAUAUAUAUAUAUAUAUAUAUAUAUAUAUAUAUAUAUAUAUAUAUAUAUAUGCAGAAUGGCUUUUAAUCAGUUGCUGAUAUUCAUGAGGCAUAAUGUCGUCCUCUCUGCCUGAGCACCAUCUGGAAAUUCUUCUGCUUUUUAACAGACUUCAUGAUCUGUCUUCUACUUUUAUGAUUUGAAAAAGCGAUAAAUCAUCUUCCAAAUGUGCAUCUCCACUUACUGUCCUCUACAGGCGUGCUGCUGGCCCAUUAAACUGAUUUGUGGAGCAGAGGCAGUUGUAAACUAACACUGGAUUACAACUCAUCUUCAGAGGGAGUGUCUCUUAGGAAUGUUCCUGGUAUUUCACUCAUCACCUUGAACACAGGAGCUCCUAUCUGACCUGCUUCCUCCAGGUUUAUAAACUGUGACCCCGUGUGUCCACAGACAGGGUCCGUCUUUGUUGAUCGGCAUGACUCUGACCUGCAGAGUCACAUGGCUGGAGGUGGGUUAUCGGGCCAUCUCGACCUGCCUGCUGGAACCAUUGUUUAGUCCCGGACCAGAUAUUCCGGCUGCAAGAUUACCAUCGCAUCACUCCUCAGUGGGGAGUCCAGGCCUCGCAACCCCUCUGUGCAGGCUGCCUUUCUGACUCUUAUCUCUUCCACCUGCACUGUUUUCUCCACAACCAUGAGCUCCUCACCUCCAUUCUUCCUUCUAUCUCCAUCUUUUCGUCCAGAAACCUGCUGAGGAUACUUUAUUUAUUCCUGCAGGAGAUCUUAUUCUGCAGCACGAGCAGAUAUUUAAUCUAGAGCUGUGACAAAGCCACACAUCUGAAUGGAAAUGAGCUUAUACUAAAAUAUUGUUACAGUAAUCACAUGUAAUAAAAAUACUGUUUGAGAAUAUCA